rnacentral:rRNA from 1 species
GAUGAACGCUGGCGGCGUGCCUAAUACAUGCAAGUCGAGCGAACAGACGAGGAGCUUGCUCCUCUGACGUUAGCGGCGGACGGGUGCGUCACACGUGGAUAACAUACCUAUCCGACUGGGAUACCUUCGGGAAACCGGAGCUACUACCGGAUAAUAUAUUGAACUGCAUGGUUCAAUAGUGAAAGACGGUUUUGCUGUCACUUAUAGAUUGAUCAGCGCCGCAUUAGCUAGUUGGUAAGGUAACGGAUUACCAAGGCGACGAUGCGUAGCCGACCUGAGAGGGAGAUCCGCCACACGGGAACUGAGACACGGUCCAGACUCCUACGGGAGGCAGCAGUAGGGAAUCUUCCGCAAUGGGCGAAUGCUUGACGGAGCAACGCCGCGUGAGGGAUGAAGGUCUUCGGAUCGGAAAACUCUGUUAUUAGGGAAGAACAAAUGUGUAAGUAACUAGGCACGUCUUGACGGUACCUAAUCAGAAAGCCACGGCUAACUACGUG